UACGUAGGGUGCAAGCGUUAUCCGGAAUUAUUGGGCGUAAAGAGCUCGUAGGCGGUUUGUCGCGUCUGCUGUGAAAAUCCAGGGCUUAACCCUGGACCUGCAGUGGGUACGGGCAGACUGGAGUGCGGUAGGGGAGAUCGGAAUUCCUGGUGUAGCGGUGAAAUGCGCAGAUAUCAGGAGGAACACCAAUUGCGAAGGCAGUUCGCUACACGAAUAUUGACUCUGAGGCACGAAAGCGUGGGGAUCAAACAGG
rnacentral:rRNA from 1 species